rnacentral:ncRNA from 1 species
GGAAAUACAAUGAAUGGAAAAGUACCUUGAUUACUUGGGUUACAGCGAAUUCGGAGGAGGUGGAAGCCGGAUACUCGACUUAGGGGAAAAUCAUCCAGGAGUUAAUAGUUUGAAAUUUAGUAAUUCUAUUCGGCUGGUCAUCGUUAUCUGACUCCAAAGAGGCAGAAUUAUUAUACUGUUAUCAGGGUGGUACCGCGGGAAACAACUCUCGUCCCUUAG